rnacentral:rRNA from 1 species
UACGUAGGGGGCAAGCGUUGUCCGGAUUCAUUGGGCGUAAAGAGCGUGUAGGCGGCCAGGUAGGUCGGUUGUGAAACUGGAGGCUCAACCUUCAGAGGUCGACCGAAACCAUCUGGCUAGAGUCCGGGAGAGGAGAGUGGAAUUCCUGGUGUAGCGGUGAAAUGCGCAGAUAUCAGGAAGAACACCCGUGGCGAAAGCGGCUCUCUGGAACGGUACUGACGCUGAGACGCGAAAGCGUGGGGAGCGAACAGG